rnacentral:rRNA from 1 species
GACGAACGCUGGCGGCGUGCUUAACACAUGCAAGUCGAACGGAAAGGCCCUGCUUUUGUGGGGUGCUCGAGUGGCGAACGGGUGAGUAACACGUGAGUAACCUGCCCUUGACUUUGGGAUAACUUCAGGAAACUGGGGCUAAUACCGGAUAGGAGCUCCUGCUGCAUGGUGGGGGUUGGAAAGUUUCGGCGGUUGGGGAUGGACUCGCGGCUUAUCAGCUUGUUGGUGGGGUAGUGGCUUACCAAGGCUUUGACGGGUAGCCGGCCUGAGAGGGUGACCGGCCACAUUGGGACUGAGAUACGGCCCAGACGCCUACGGGAGGCAGCAGUGGGGAAUAUUGCACAAUGGGCGGAAGCCUGAUGCAGCAACGCCGCGUGCGGGAUGACGGCCUGCGGGUUGUAAACCGCGUUCGCCUGUGACGAAGCGUGAGUGACGGUAAUGGGUAAAGAAGCACCGGCUAACUACGUG